rnacentral:rRNA from 1 species
UACGGAGGAUGCAAGCGUUAUCCGGAUUCAUUGGGUUUAAAGGGUGCGUAGGCGGGCUAUUAAGUCAGUGAUGAAAUCCUGCAGCUUAACUGCAGAACUGCCGUUGAUACUGAUAGUCUUGAGUUUGGUUAAGGUAGGCGGAAUGUGUAAUGUAGCGGUGAAAUGCUUAGAUAUUACACAGAACACCAAUUGCGUAGGCAGCUUACUGAGCCGACACUGACGCUGAGGCACGAAAGCGUGGGGAUCAAACAGGA